AGAGGAAAUUCACUUUGGCUAACGUGCUAUAUAAAUGCAUCAAAACCAUUUUAAAACUCAGUUGCCCAGUCCUAAGAGACAAAGGGUCUACUGGGCAAGUAAAGUUCCAUUGCUCAUCUUACAGGGAAUCACUUUAAGACGGCACGGUGUCCUGAUGGGAAUAGUGGCUAAGAUGGCACGGUUUCCUGAUGGGAAUAGUGGUUAAGAUGGCAUGGUUUCCUGAUGGGAAUAGUGGCGUGGGAUAGGAAAUAAUAAAUCCGGCUCCUCGUGGGUGGUGUGAUGGUUGCACAAUGAUGUGAACGUACUUAAUGCCAUUGAACUGUAUGCUUUAGAAUGGUUAAGAUGGCAAAUUUUAUGUUAUCUGUAUUUACCAUAAUUAAAAAAAAUUAAAAGCAAGGGUAAAGGAUUAAUUUGAUAGUGAAGCUACAGAUUCAGGAGAGAAAGAUAAUAAUUGAGGUUCUAGUUUUCUAAAGCUACACAGGGCGACUAAUAGGGACUGAGUGUGUGAAAGACUGAAAUGCUGUGGCUGGAGAUGCUGAGAAAGGGAAGAGCGGGAUGGACACAAGGCUGGAGACCCAUGCAUGACAUUGUUAGCGAUGACCUAGAGAAAGUUCUCUCCCACAGGGAGCCACAGAUUAACUGGAAGUGGAAUUUAUAUCUUUCAUUUAAGGAAUUUCUAAAUACAGGAAACUCAAUGCAUUUUACCAUCCAAAAGUGUUUGACAUGCCUAAGGAAAUGGAGCAUGAGGUUAUAUUAUAUAUCAGGAGGCAUCUAGUGGUGUGCUGCAGGGAUGUGGUGCUCUGGACUUGGUUAGCAUCUUUAUCAAUGGCAAUGACAAAAAGGGCAUCCUCAAUGAAUAACUGAAAGAGUUGAAGGAGAGAAGGAAAGAAGGGAGAGUGAAUAGAGAGAACAUUUACUAAAUGUGUAAUUUUCACACACAGUGUUGCAUUUCACCUUUCCAGCAACCGUAUGGGACAGGUGCUGUUCUCCCCAUUUUAUGAAGCAGGAAAUUGAAGCUCUGAAAGGGUAAUGAAUAGGCCCACAAGGACACAGUUGGUAAAGGAAGGGCUUGAAAUUUGAACCUACUGUAUUACAAAUUCUGCAUGCAAAAGUUGAACUGUGAUACUUAUGAGAUGUGUCCUUUGAUAAAACACACACCUGACUAAAUGUACCCAGGCAAGAUGGAGGAAAUAUCAUACCUUGUCAACAACGUGUGUAAAAAAUGGGCAUCAUUAUUUAUAACUAUUUUAAGUCCUACUAACUAGGGUAGGUAAUAGUAUUCUACCCUGCCAUGACCAGGCCACUCCUGGGGCACUGAGUUUAAUACUCAGGGCGUUCAGGAGACCCAUCUAUUCACCGAUUCACCUUGGCUGCUUUUGCACCAAAAUAGAAGAGUGGAGUAGUUGCAAUAGAGCUGAAAAUAUUUACUAUCUAUCUGGUUCCUUAAAGAAAAAAUUUUCUGUGCCCUGAUCUGAACCAGUGUUUUCUAAACCUUGAUUAUACUCCCACCUCCUUAAUCUUUUUUGUGUAUGGCAUCUUUGAAGUCCAUUUACACUAUUAUUUACUUUGUAAUUUUUUAAGUCAGUACGGUAUUUUUUAAAAAUUUAAACACUAUUGUAACCUCAUCCUAAGCAAAUGAUAUCUUUGUAAUAACAGGUUUUGUAUGUAAAUCAUAUAGGUUUAUAACAUGUUA
rnacentral:lncRNA from 1 species